GACGAACGCUGGCGGCGUGCCUAAUACAUGCAAGUAGAACGCACAGUAUAUACCGUAGCUUGCUACACCAUAGACUGUGAGUUGCGAACGGGUGAGUAACGCGUAGGUAACCUGCCUGGUAGCGGGGGAUAACUAUUGGAAACGAUAGCUAAUACCGCAUAAUAUUGAUUAUUGCAUGAUAAUUAAUUGAAAGGUGCAAUUGUACCACUACCAGAUGGACCUGCGUUGUAUUAGCUAGUAGGUGAGGUAACGGCUCACCUAGGCGACGAUACAUAGCCGACCUGAGAGGGUGAUCGGCCACACUGGGACUGAGACACGGCCCAGACUCCUACGGGAGGCAGCAGUAGGGAAUCUUCGGCAAUGGACGAAAGUCUGACCGAGCAACGCCGCGUGAGUGAAGAAGGUUUUCGGAUCGUAAAGCUCUGUUGUAAGAGAAGAACGGGUGUGAGAGUGGAAAGUUCACACUGUGACGGUAUCUUACCAGAAAGGGACGGCUAACUACGUG
rnacentral:rRNA from 1 species